rnacentral:rRNA from 1 species
CGUGCGGUCCUAUUUUGUUGGUUUCUAGGACCGCCGUAAUGAUUAAUAGGGACAGUCGGGGGCAUCAGUAUUCAAUUGUCAGAGGUGAAAUUCUUGGAUUUAUUGAAGACUAACUACUGCGAAAGCAUUUGCCAAGGAUGUUUUCAUUAAUCAGUGAACGAAAGUUAGGGGAUCGAAGACGAUCAGAUACCGUCGUAGUCUUAACCGUAAACUAUGCCGACUAGGGAUCGGGCGAUGUUCUUUUUCUGACUCGCUCGGCACCUUACGAGAAAUCAAAGUUUUUGGGUUCUGGGGGGAGUAUGGUCGCAAGGCUGAAACUUAAAGAAAUUGACGGAAGGGCACCACAGGCGGAGCCUGCGGCUUAAUUUGACUCAACACGGGGAAACUCACCAGGUCCAGAUGAAAUAAGGAUUGACAGAUUGAGAGCUCUUUCUUGAUUUUUCAGGUGGUGGUGCAUGGCCGUUCUUAGUUGGUGGAGUGAUUUGUCUGCUUAAUUGCGAUAACGAACGAGACCUUAACCUGCUAAAUAGCCAGGCUAGCUUUGGCUGGUCGCCGGCUUCUUAGAGGGACUAUCGGCUCAAGCCGAUGGGAAGUUUGAGGCAAUAACAGGUCUGUGAUG